CUGCACCAAGAAGUGCCUGGAUGAGUAAGGCAUGCCAACGAGAUGUGUGUGGGUGUGGAAGCAUUUCCAUGUAGGAAGGGCAGCCCUGAAUGUGGGCCAGUACCUCCCGCCCCCAUGUUGUGGACUGAAAAGAAAAGGAAGAGGUCCACCCAUGAAGACACACCUAUUCUGCUCCCUAGUUGCCUGAGUACUUUCCCUCUGUCACACCCUCUUCUCCAGGACCUGAAACCCAACCAGGAAAGUCCGUUCUAGACAAGGAAGAGUUAAGACUGCAUGGACAAACUCAGAACUCCAAGCUUUCCAAGUUUUGUGGGCUCAAGUCAGACUUGUAACAUUAACUUUAAUGUAAAUUUUUUUGGAAGUGAUUCACAUAGAAUUCCUGCCAAAAAAUUUAAUAAUUAGACAGCUUUAGCUCAACCUUUGUCCGUACAUGCCUAACAACAUCUGCUCAUCUGACAUGGACCCUGGAAGCUGUAUCAAGCCUGGAAAAGGGUGGCUGGACCUGGAGAACGCCAUGUACUGCAGGUUAGCCCUGUGAGCACCUGCCAGUUUCUACCUGCACUAUCGCCUCAGCCCAGCUAACCCCUGUGCUGGCUGCAUCCCAUCCCACAACUACCACGGACUAAAAGGAGGGACACGUAGACUGCAAAGGGUCAGUCAUAAAAGGAGCAUUUCCCCUGUUUUUCUACCCCAACCUGCAGGUGUAAGGUGGACUCAUCGGUAUGGCAGCAUUUUGCUAAGGGGAAGCCCAUGUUACUCAAAACAGGAAUUAUAAUAAAGCCGUAAGGAAUAGGCCUGGA